UACGUAGGGGGCUAGCGUUGUCCGGAAUCAUUGGGCGUAAAGCGCGUGUAGGCGGUCCGGUAAGUCAGCUGUGAAAGUCGAGGGCUCAACCCUCGAAUGCCGGUGGAUACUGUCGGGCUUGAGUACGGGAGAGGCGAGUGGAAUUCCUGGUGUAGCGGUGAAAUGCGCAGAUAUCAGGAGGAACACCGAUUGCGAAGGCAGCUCGCUGGAACGUUACUGACGCUGAGACGCGAAAGCGUGGGGAGCAAACAGG
rnacentral:rRNA from 1 species